GGUAACCUCGUAUAUAGGCUCAUAUAAUACGAUCUGACAGUAACACUCGAUUGCAUUUUUCCAUAUAAUGUUUCCAUGCGACAAUAUAUCGCCGUGCAAACUGUCACACGACACCUCGCAGUCCUUAUUCUGCUCUAUGAUAUCCCUAAAUAAAUUAUGAGACGAUAGCUAUCGAAGAGCUGUUAUGAUUGCGCAACAUGCCGAUAUAGAUUCUAAUAUGUGAUAUUACGACGACGAGAACUAUUUCAUUAACAUGAGGUGGCGACGCGGUAACACAAUACAGAAGAGGGGUCAGAUUCUGCCCCGUCGAGGGCCACCGCCUUUGUAUACGACACGAGGGGUUGUAGGUGGCGACGGUAAGAGAGCACCCCGUACGACACGGGGCCAAGCGAAGAGGUGUGACUCGAAUUUGUAAGCAAAAUUCCACAACAGCUUCCCUAGAUGCUUCCGUGAAAAAAGUUACUCUGGGGCUUUCUGUUGUUUGUUACCAAUUUCGCUUAUAGAAUUAUUUCUAUUGUUAAUUCAUUGUAUGUAACAUCAAAAUGUACCUUAUAGAUGCUCCCGAUAUCGUUUAUCGUCGAGAGUAAUAAUUCUAUAUUAUUAAAGAAUUAGCGCUUUUGUUACUA